AUUCAACUGACGAGUCCCGUAUAGGAUGAAACGUACGUCCUGUAU
rfam:Schistosoma haematobium scaffold811_49, whole genome shotgun sequence.